rnacentral:rRNA from 1 species
GAUGAACGCUGGCGGCGUGCCUAAUACAUGCAAGUCGAGCGAACAGACGAGGAGCUUGCUCCUCUGACGUUAGCGGCGGACGGGUGAGUAACACGUGGAUAACCUACCUAUAAGACUUGGAUAACUUCGGGAAACCGGAGCUAAUACCGGAUAAUAUAUUGAACCGCAUGGUUCAAUAGUGAAAGACGGUUUUGCUGUCACUUAUAGAUGGAUCCGCGCCGCAUUAGCUAGUUGGUAAGGUAACGGCUUACCAAGGCGACGAUGCGUAGCCGACCUGAGAGGGUGAUCGGCCACACUGGAACUGAGACACGGUCCAGACUCCUACGGGAGGCAGCAGUAGGGAAUAUUCCGCAAUGGGCGCAAGCCUGACGGAGCAACGCCGCGUGAGUGAUGAAGGUCUUCGGAUCGUAAAACUCUGUUAUUAGGGAAGAACAAAUGUGUAAGUAACUAUGCACGUCUUGACGGUACCUAAUCAGAAAGCCACGGCUAACUACGUG